AUUGAACGCUAGCGGGAUGCUUUACACAUGCAAGUCGAACGGAUUGGCUGACGGGUGCGUACUAUAUCGGACCGUGCCCCUUACCUGGGGAUAACUACUCUAAAGAGUGGCUCAUACCGCAUACUAUUGUAGCGGCCGAUAUCUGAUUAGCUAGUUGGUGGGGUAACGGCUCACCACGGCACAGAUCCGUAGCUGGUUUGAGCGUACGCCCAGCCACACUGGGAGUGAGACACGGACCAGACUCCUACGGGAGGCAGCAGUGGGGAAUUUUGGACAAUGGGGGAAACCCUGAUCCAGCCAUCCCGCGUGUAUGAUGAAGGCCUUCGGGUUGUAAAGUACUUUUGGCAGAGAAGCGGUAUCUGCAGAAUAAGCACCGGCUAACUACGUGCCAGCAGCCGCGGUAAUAC
rnacentral:rRNA from 1 species